CAGUUAUGGAGAAACCUGAAGAACCAGCAGUGGAAGAAAAACCUGAAGAACCAACAGUUAAAGAGGAACCUGAAAAAUCAGUGAUGGAAGAGAAACCUGAAGAACCAAUUGUUGAGGAGAAACUUGAAGAACCAACUGUUGAAGAGAAACCUGAAAAAUCACUGAUUGAAGAAACACCUGAAGAACCAAUAUGGGAAGAAACACCUAAAGAACUAGCAUUUGAAGAGAAACCAGAAGAACCAGCAGUUGAAGAGGAGAAACCUGAAAAGGUAACUCUUUUGGAAGAGGUGAGUAUCAAGCAUUAGCACAUAGUUUAUCCAUCAUGUUAUUUCUGUAUGUGCAUCGAUUCACAUCUGCUUAUCUAUUGAAAGUCUAAAUGAGACUUUAAAUUCUUCUUGCAGAAUAUACCAGCUGUAGAUUUCAACGACAAGACUGACCGUGAAAUUCCAUGCGAUACCAACAAUGAUAUUGCUGACUAUGCAACAGUUGAGGAAAAACCUGAAGAACCGGUAGUUGAAGAAAAACAUGAAGAACCUGCAAUUGAAAAGAAAUUUGAAGAAUCAACGGUUAUGGAGAAACCUGAAAAACCAGUGGUUAAGGUACAACCUGAAGAACCAGCAGUGGAAGAAAAAGUUGAAGAACCAACAGUUAAUGAGGAACCUGAAAAAUCAGCGAUGGAAGAGAACCCUGAAGAAUCAAUUGUUGAGGAGAAACUUGAAGAACCAACUGUUGAAGAGAAACCUGAAAAAUCACUGAUUGAAGAAACACCUGAAGAACCAAUAUGGAAAGAAACACCUAAAGAACUAGCAUUUGAAGAGCAACCAGAAGAACCAGCAGUUGAAGAGGAGAAACCUGAAAAGGUAUCUCUUUUGGAAGAGGUGAGUAUCAAGCAUUAUCACAUAGUUUAUCCAUCCUGUUAUUUCUGUAUGUGCGACGAUUCACAUCUGCUUAUCUAUUGAAAGACUAAAUGAGACUUUAAAUUCUUCUUGCAGAAUAUGCCAGCUGUAGAUUUCAACGACAAGACUGACUGUGAAAUUCCAUGCAAUACCAACAAUGAUGUUGCUGAAUAUGUAGCAAUUGAGGAAAACCUUGAAGAACCAGCAGUUGAAGAAAAACAUGAAGAACCAACAGUUGAGGAGAAACCUGAAGAACUAGCAGUUGAAGAGAAACCCGAAAAACCAACAAUUGAGGAGAAACAUGAAGAACCAAUAGUUGAGAAGAAACCUGAAGAACCAGUAGUUGAGGAGAAACCAGAAGAACCACUAAUUGAAGAGGAGAAAUCUGAAAGGGUAACUUUCCUAGAAAAGGUGAGGAUCAAGCAUUGUCAAAAGGUUUAUCCAUCUUAUUAGUUGUGUAUGUGCGACGAUUCACAUCUGCUUACUUAUUGAAAGACUAAGUGAAACUUCAAAAUUCUUGCAGAGUAUGCUAGUUGUAGACUCGAACGACAAGACUGACAGUGAAAUUCCAUGCAAUACCAACAAAGAUGCUGCCCACUUUCCCGAAGUUGAGGCAAACCCUGAAGAACCAGCAGUUGAAGGAAAACCUAAAGAACCCGUUGAUGAAGAGAAACCAGAUGUACCAGUGGUUGAGAAACCUGAAAAACAAAUGGUUGAGGAGAAACUUGAAGAACCAAUGAUUGAGGAGAAAUCUGACGAACUAGUCGAGGAGAAAUCUCAACAACCAGCGGCUGAAAAGAAACCUGAAGAACCAGCAGCUAAAGAAUCACUUAAAGAGCUAGCAGGGGAGGAAACAACUGAAGAACUAGCACUUGAAGAGAAACUUAGAGAACCAACAGUUGAAGAACUAGUUCUUGAAGAUAAACCUGAAAACCCAGAAAAUGAAGAGGAUAAACUUGAAACAGUAACUCUCCAGGAAAAGGUAAGAAACAAGCAGUGUCACAGAGUUUAUCCAUCCUAUUAGCUCUACAUAUGCAAUGAAUUCACAUCUGUUUAUCCACUGAAAGACUAAGUGAAACUUUAAAUUUUUCUUGCAGAAUUUACCAAUUGCAGACUCAAACGACAAGACUGACAAUGCAACUCCCUGCAAUAACAACAAUGAUAUUGCUGACUCUGCAGCAGUUAAGGAAAAAACUGAAGAACCAGUAGUUGAGGAAAAACAUGAAGAACCGGCAACUGAAGAGAAAUCUGAAGAAUCAGAAUUUAUGAAAAAAACUGAAGAACCAGCGGUUGAGGUAAAACCUGAAGAACCAUCAGUGGAAGAGAAGCCUGAAGAACCAGCGGUUAGGAAAAAUCCUGAAGAACCAGCAGUUAAUGAGGAACCUGCAAAAUCAGCAACGGAAGAGAAACCUGAAGAACCAAUUGCUGAGGAGAAACUUGAAGAACCAACUCUUAAAGAGAAACCUGGAAAACCAGUAAUUGAAGAAACACCUGAAGAACCAACACU
rnacentral:lncRNA from 1 species